GGAUUCUCCAGCCUUAUGGGUCCCAGAGAAGAUGAUGAGACCUCUUCCUCUCUUGGCCACUCCUUGGGGGUACUCCUGGCUGGCUGGCUGCCUGCACCUCCACAUUGGCACCUGUUGACUUUCUGCAGAUGGUGAUUAGAGGACCCGUGUCGCUUAGUGAAACAGGAACAAAACACGUUAGCAGUCUGUGGCAAAAGCUUGUUAGUUUACAGCUUGCCCUGAAGUGUCUGCUGUUCAGAAUGGGGGCAGCAACUAUCGAAUCUCAUCUGCAGGAAUGAUGAUGAGAGAAUAAUUGUAGUGAUAGCAGACAAAGGUACUUAUUAUUGCAGAGAUGACCAGACAGGCUACGGCUGAACUGAGCUCUACUUAUUCCUUCCCCACCUGGGCUCCCAAUCUGACUUGUGUUUUAUUUUUGUUGGUUUGAAUCUGUAAUAAAG